CGACGGAAGCGGCUGGUUGAAGAUAGUACGGAUGGUGAGGAGGGACAAAAACUACGGAAGACGGGGGUGGAGCUUGGAAGAGCGGACAGGAAGAGACAUGAAAAGGAGAUGGGCGUGACCCAAAGGCAAUGGAAGAAAUGUGAUCAAGCUUCUGUUUUUAGAAAGUUUAUUUGAGGAUGGUGAGUUGGAGUCUGGAAGCCGAGAAUACAUGAAGAAGAUUGUUGCAAACUCAAUGAUGUCUACACUAAUAUAAAGGUGGCCAGACCCUGAAAAGCUUAGAUUGGUAUAAAGGAGAUUCAAAUACAUGUCUUACAUAUGCUUAAGAAAUCGAGCUACAGGAAGAGACAAGGCAGAACAAGCCAUCUGCCUGGAAGGUAUGCAAGAUCCAAGAGUGAGUGUGCAAAGGAAGAGAGCUUCAGUCUUCUAAGAUCAUGGGCAGUGAAGAGGUCAGAGACUCUAAGCUGCAUAAAGAAUAUCAAGACCAAGGCAGACAGCGUCUGGGGCUCGUAAAAGCCAGCAGAACACUGUGCUUUCAGCUGUUUGGCACGCAAAGUCCCUUCCUUCAAAACAGUGCCACACACAUCUUCUCUAAGAAAUCUUCCAGCGUAUCUCAGCAGUAAAGAGCUAUUCCAUGCAUGGACUCACUGAUGCGUGCUCAGGGCUGGCCUAUGAGGAAUGGAGAGGUUUUGAUGACACUGGGCCAAGGGACUGAGAAGACUAGAGACCUGCUGCAGCUUGUUCAUCCUUCUUCCCUGUGACGUUCAGGUGAGAAAUCAAAAUAGUACAACCACCUGAAUAAAUGCCCGAUUUCUUAGUGUGAAGCUCUUUUUAAAACAAAAUUUGGGAGCCAGUGUUUAGCCUAGCAUCCCACAUUGGGCUCCAUGUCCAGUUCUGGCUUCUGACUCCAGCUUCCUGCUAAAGCAUACCCUAAAAGGCAGCAUGAUGGCUCAGUAUUUGGGUCCCUGGUUCCCACUUGGGAGACCUGGAUUUUGUUCCUGGCUCCUAGCUUCAGCACUGGCUCAACCUGGACAUCUCGGGGUGAACCAGCAGAUAGGAGCUCUGUUUCUGUCUUUCUACCUCUCAAACCCUCACAACUCCCUCCCCUCCAGAAAAGAUACCAAAAGAAAAAAAUUAGAGGAAGGAUCUACACAAAAGGCCCACAAGCACCUCUCCCUCCCCAUGACACACUAAAAUCUUCCUGCCCACUGUUCUACCACAUCAGACAAGAAAUCCAAGUAAGAAAAGGUACACUUGCUAUGCACCUGAGGAAGAGAAACCUGAGGAAGGAUGGCCAGAUUCCAACAGAAGGCCCUGAUCCGUUCACCUAUUCCUGCAACACGAAGUAGGAGAGGAAGCUGAUUGGAGGAUCAUCACUCUGCUCUUGUUAAAUGUGAAUCAGUGAAUUUCCUGGAAUAUGACUGAUCUACUCAACAACUCCUCUCUGGGAAAACGUGAAAACUAGGAGAGAAUGGGAGAUGUGGGGCCUCCCUUUCCUCUAACACUUGACCUUUGAAACUCGGGCCAUGGCGGGGACAGGCGUUUGGCACAGUGGUUAAGUCACCAUUGAGGACACCUACGUUCCUUAUGAGAGUGCCUGGUUCAAGACCUGCUCCUCUGCUUCCAACCCAGCUUCCUGCCAAUGCACUCUGGGAGGCAACAGUAAUGGCUCAACUACUUGGAUCCCUGCCACUCAAGUGGGAGACCCAGCUCCUGGCCUCAGUCUGGCCCAGCCCUGGCUGUUGCAGACAUUUGGGGAAUGAACCAAAAGGUGAAAUCUCUCUCUCUUUCUGUGUCUCUCUGCCUUUCAAAUGAAAUUAAAAUAAAUAAAUAUUUAAUUGAAAAAAGAAUGGGCCAACAGGAUCAGCAUUGCUGGGGAGCUUGUUAGAAAAGCAGAAACUUGGGCCCCACCUAGAUUAACAGAAUUGAUCAUACACAGGUUAAUGUUUGAGAUGCACUGAGUCUCUGAUUCCUAAAUUGACUCUCAAAUUUUUUGUCAUUUGAAUCUUUGCUCACUUCCUAAAAUAAUGCUCUGCAUAUGGUCAACAGUUAAUGAAUGCUUGUUGGCACCUAUUUAAUUCCAUUCGAAGGGAGGAGGCCUCUUCUGAGAAGCCAGAACGCACUUACUGAUGAGUGCCUUCGAUAGACAGAAGUGUACUACAAACAAGCAGACAAAACAAUUCCAGACAUUACACAUAGCUCUGCUGAGCAGGACAGAUGGGCAGAGUAAAAGUCUCGUCUCAAUCUAUCUCUCCGCCCAUAACAUUCCCUCUUUGCCCCAUUUAAGCUCUCUUUUAUCAGAGCUAGCUCUAUGCCUUUGGAUUGAGUUUCGCUUCCUCCACAGGGUAGUGUUUAAGUGGGCCACAUGUUUCACGCAGCCGUACCCUCAAACCCCAAAUCUAAGAUUGAGACACUGUACCAUUAAGCCAGGACACGGUAGGAAAACAAAGAGCAAUGUGGGCACAUUCAUACUUCUCACCUUUAAAUGAUUGCAACCACGUGACCCAAAUCGUGUCUGACUUCUGAUAGUCGCCAGAUCCUAGGCCUGGCUCUCUGGCCAGUAUUUGCCCCUGGAGCCCUUCCUACCUGAGAGGCAGUAUGCAGUGGCUCCCAACCCCAAUUUGUUCCCUGUGAUCUACCUGAUAGAAUAUCAUAGAGUAAAGGGGACCAGGAGCUGGCGUGUAUUUGUGUAUUAUCUGGAAUUCUGCCACAACAGUGUCAUGGGAUCCCAUAAUGACAGAAUUUAAUGAGUAAUAAUUAAAAUUGCCAUCUGUUGAGCAGUUACAAUGUGUUUUACAACAGCUCCAUGAAGAAAGUAGUAACCUCAGUUAAUGAAUGAGGGAAUCUGAGUUUUCUGAAGUUGAGCAACUUGCCUAAGAAGUAGCACAAUUAGACUUCCAGCCCAUGCCCAUCUGAGCCCACAGCCCCUGAACAACUGCACUAACACGAUGUCUUGUUAGAGACCCCUGUAAACGCCCUUUGUGAUGAGAGAAUCACUUGCUCUCUCUGCUGCUAACAUGAAGUUCAAAUGAGAUCCAAGAUGUUAAAGCCCUUAGAGGGGCGGGGGCUGUGGCAGAGCGGGUACAGACGCUGCCUGCAGUCCCAGCUGCUCCUCUUCUGAUCCAGCUCUCUGCUAUGGCCUGGAAAAGCAGUAGAAGAUGGCCCAACCAGCGCUAUGGCACAGCGGGUUAAUGCAUGGCCUGAAGUGCCAGCAUCCCACAUGGGUGCCAGUUCAAGACCCAGCUGCCCCACUUCUGAUCCCGCUCUCUGCUGUGGCCUGGGAAAGCAGAAGAUGGCCCAAGUGCUUAGGCCUCUGCACCUGUGUGGGAGACCCAGAAGAAGCUCCUGGCUCCCGGCUUAGGAUUGCUGCAGCUCCGACCCUUGUGGCCAAUUGGAGAGUGAACCAGUGUAUGGAAGACCUCUCUCUCUGCCUCUGCCUCUCUCU